AACGAGGGGGGCGAGCGUUGUUCGGAAUUAUUGGGCGUAAAGGGUGCGUAGGCGGUUUGGUAAGUCUUGUGUGAAAUCUACAGGCUCAACUUGUAGUCUGCACGAGAAACUGCCGGGCUUGAGUAUGGGAGAGGUGAGUGGAAUUCCUGGUGUAGCGGUGAAAUGCGUAGAUAUCAGGAGGAACACCUGUGGCGAAAGCGGCUCACUGGACCAUAACUGACGCUGAUGCACGAAAGCUAGGGGAGCAAACAGG
rnacentral:rRNA from 1 species